rnacentral:rRNA from 1 species
GACGAACCGUGCGAACGUUGUUCGGAUUCACUGGGCUUAAAGGGCGCGUAGGCGGACUUGCAAGUCUGUGGUGAAAGCCCCCAGCUCAACUGGGGAAGUGCCGUGGAUACUGUGAGUCUGGAGGAGGGUAGGGGCAUCUGGAACGCUGGGUGGAGCGGUGAAAUGCGUUGAUAUCCAGCGGAACUCCGGUGGCGAAGGCGAGGUGCUGGACCCUUUCUGACGCUGAUGCGCGAAAGCCAGGGGAGCAAACGGG